AUUCCCGGUGUAGCGGUGAAAUGCGUAGAUAUCGGGAAGAACACCAGUGGCGAAGGCGCUCUGCUGGGCCAUCACUGACGCUCAUGGACGAAAGCCAGGGGAGCGAAAGGGAUUAGAUACCCCUGUAGUCCUGGCCGUAAACGAUGAACACUAGGUGUCGGGGGAAUCGACCCCCUCGGUGUCGUAGCCAACGCGUUAAGUGUUCCGCCUGGGGAGUACGCACGCAAGUGUGAAACUCAAAGGAAUUGACGGGGGCCCGCACAAGCGGUGGAGUAUGUGGUUUAAUUCGAUGCAACGCGAAGAACCUUACCAGGGUUUGACAUCCUGCGAAUCUCUUGGAAACGAGAGAGUGCCUUCGGGAGCGCAGUGACAGGUGGUGCAUGGCUGUCGUCAGCUCGUGUCGUGAGAUGUUGGGUUAAGUCCCGCAACGAGCGCAACCCACGUCUUUAGUUGCCAGCAUUUAGUUGGGCACUCUAGAGAGACCGCCGGUGAUAAACCGGAGGAAGGUGUGGAUGACGUCAAGUCAUCAUGCCCCUUACAUCCUGGGCUACACACGUACUACAAUGCUACGGACAAAGGGCAGCAAGUUCGCGAGGACAAGCAAAUCCCAUAAACCGUGGCUCAGUUCAGAUCGUAGGCUGCAACUCGCCUACGUGAAGGAGGAAUCGCUAGUAAUCGCAGGUCAGCAUACUGCGGUGAAUACGUUCCCGGGUUUUGCACACACCGCCCG
rnacentral:rRNA from 1 species